AUUACAGUUAGGAAUGAUUAUACCGUAUUUCGACCGUACGUGUCUUAUCUACAAGGCGUUUAUAGAAAGCGCACCAUUGAUUGUGCCGCUAAGGCUCAAGAAAAACAGUCCAUCUUAUUUCAAUAGAUAAUGUUUUAGUGAUGUCCUCUGAGGAUAUAAUAGCGGAUGCUAUGUAACGGGACUGUUAGGAAAAUAAAGCUUAGCAACACUUAUGGCCCUCUGUUUCUGUAUAAUAUGUAUUUAUAUAUCUUUAAAAACGCCAUAAUUAUCACAGUUUGGAAUGUCUUGCCACCGCCGCAACGUUUUUUUGAACAACGGUUGAAAAGCGAACAGGGUAUGUCGACAUUAAGUUUUACUUAGGCGAAUGUAAAUAUUUUAAGAACCUACGUAUAAUAUAGAUUAUUUUUGUUCAAAUAAUAAAUCUCACUAUGUGAUGA